CCCUUAGAUGUCCUGGGCCGCACGCGCGCUACACUGAUGCAUGCAACGAGUUUAUAACCUUGGCCUGAAAGGUCUGGGUAAUCUUUUGAACGUGCAUCGUGAUAGGGAUAGAUUAUUGCAAUUGUUAAUCUUGAACGAGGAAUUCCUAGUAAACGCGAGUCAUCAGCUCGCAUUGAUUACGUCCCUGCCCUUUGUACACACCGCCCGUCGCACCUACCGAUUGAAUGGUUCGGUGAAGAUCUCGGACUUCGAUAUUUAUUCUUUAUUGAGUUUAUAUUGUGGGAAGUUAUCUAAACCUCGUCAUUUAGAGGAAGGUGAAGUCGUAACA
rnacentral:rRNA from 1 species